AUUGAACGCUGGCGGCAUGCCUUACACAUGCAAGUCGAACGGCAGCACGGGAGCAAUCCUGGUGGCGAGUGGCGAACGGGUGAGUAAUAUAUCGGAACGUGCCCAGUCGUGGGGGAUAACGUAGCGAAAGCUACGCUAAUACCGCAUACGAUCUACGGAUGAAAGCAGGGGACCGCAAGGCCUUGCGCGGACGGAGCGGCCGAUGGCAGAUUAGGUAGUUGGUGGGAUAAAAGCUUACCAAGCCGACGAUCUGUAGCUGGUCUGAGAGGACGACCAGCCACACUGGGACUGAGACACGGCCCAGACUCCUACGGGAGGCAGCAGUGGGGAAUUUUGGACAAUGGGCGCAAGCCUGAUCCAGCCAUGCCGCGUGCGGGAAGAAGGCCUUCGGUUGUAAACCGCUUUUGUCAGGAAGAAAUCCUUUGAGUUAAUACCUCGGGGGAGUGACGGUACCUGAAGAAUAAGCACCGGCUAACUACGUGCCAGCAGCCGCGGUAAGG
rnacentral:rRNA from 1 species